rnacentral:tRNA from 1 species
GGGCGCUUAGCUCAGAUGGUUAGAGCGCCUGCCUUACAAGCAGGAGGUCACUGGUUCGAAUCCAGUAGUGCCCACCA